GGCGGCAUAGCUCAGCUGGGAGAGCAGCAGACUGAAGUUCCAGUGAAUUCCCAGAGUGUUUAUAUCUGAAGGUCCGGUGUUCAAUUCACCGUGCUGCCA